CUGAAGACUAGGGCAGGGGCCUGCCUGAGGCAGACCACAGGACUGUGAGGCUGAAGAGUGCUGAGGGUUAAGAGCCUAGUAUAGGGGUUAGCAUGCUGACCUUUCCCAGGCAGAGGCUUAGAAGCCUGGGAAGGACCCUUGCUGGAAGGGCUGAGGUGGCUGUUCUGAUAAAAGAACAGGUGAGGACUGUCUGAGAAUCUGGGUAUGGCGGAAGACACUGUAGCAGGAAUAUGAGAUGGCACACUUAAAGAAGAAAGCAUUCUAACCUCCUAGUUUCAAACACAGUUCAGAGGGAAAAUAUGUGGAUCUGACUGAAAUGUGAUGUGGUAGAAAGAGAAUUAAGAAAAGCAAACUAGAAAAACAUGAGUUCUGCCAGCUGGCUACAUGGAAACUAGCUCAGAGUAAUCCUGACUUACUGCUGCAAGGCUGAUACAACGUGUUCUGAUACAUCAACGCGGAGGCAGAGUGCUUCUCGGUUGCUUUUGGACCUAGGCUGUGAAAAUU